ensembl:lncRNA
GGAGAGUACAUCUGGAGUGUUGUUCCAUGCACCAGCCUCCGGAAGGACCAUGUGCUACGUCAUCAUAAAUCGGAACAACAUACCGGAGCCUCCCUUAAAGAUCAGAAACGCUUGGCUGCGGAGGUGAACGGGGGAAUCAAGCAGGCCAUGGCAGAUAUGGUUUCCAUGAACCGAGAGGCCAUCAAAGCAGCAAUGAAGCUCGUCUAUCACCUAGCCAAGAAAGAAAUUCCCCACACUACGAACUUCAGAGAAAUGAUCAAGUUUGCCGGAUCAGAGUUAGGUAAGGGCAAAUUUAGCUUAUAUGUGGAAAUAAAUAAUUGACCUGCUGACCAAUGCCACCUACACAAUCACUACCAUCGCCAAUGAGUUCCUGGCAGUUAUUGCAGCCAUGGUUGAGGAGGAGACACUGGCGACGGUCAGGGACAGCCCCUUUUUGGGGCUCAUGUGUGAUGAGACGGUGGACAUAUCCACCACCAAUGAACUUGUUCUCUACUGCAGGUGCAUAGAUGGUGACGGCAACCUGCAGGUGAAAUUCCUGCAGGUCAUGCC